GAGUAAUGCUUGGGAACAUGCCUUGAGGUGGGGGACAACAGUUGGAAACGACUGCUAAUACCGCAUAAUGUCUACGGACCAAAGGGGGCUUCGGCUCUCGCCUUUAGAUUGGCCCAAGUGGGAUUAGCUAGUUGGUGAGGUAAUGGCUCACCAAGGCGACGAUCCCUAGCUGGUUUGAGAGGAUGAUCAGCCACACUGGGACUGAGACACGGCCCAGACUCCUACGGGAGGCAGCAGUGGGGAAUAUUGCACAAUGGGCGCAAGCCUGAUGCAGCCAUGCCGCGUGUGUGAAGAAGGCCUUCGGGUUGUAAAGCACUUUCAGUCAGGAGGAAAGGUUAGUAGUUAAUACCUGCUAGCUGUGACGUUACUGACAGAAGAAGCACCGGCUAACUCCGUGCCAGCAGCCGCGGUAAUACGGAGGGUGCGAGCGUUAAUCGGAAUUACUGGGCGUAAAGCGUACGCAGGCGGUUUGUUAAGCGAGAUGUGAAAGCCCCGGGCUCAACCUGGGAACUGC
rnacentral:rRNA from 1 species